CGAAUCACUUUUCAGGAAUCUUCGAUGGAAUCAAAUAACCACACUUGGAGACAACGCCUUCGACGGUUUGACAAAUAUAGAGACACUGGAUCUUUACAGGAAUCAGAUAACCACAGUGGGAGACAAGGCCUUCAACGGUUUGUCAAAAUUAAAGACACUGGAUCUGCGAAGGAAUAAAAUUACCACGUUGGAAGAUAAUGCCUUCGACGGUUUGGCAAAUUUAGAGACACUACGGCUGAGCUCCACCAAGAUAGCUACAAUUCAAAACAACACCUUUAAUAGUUUGCAAAAUUUAAAAAUACUGUA